UCCUUCACGCCUCUGUGUAGCAGCUGUGGUGCGCAUGCGCAGAGUGAGCCGUCGCCGCGCGGACAGGAUCUGUGAGCUCCUCCAUCUCUGCCGUCAGUCGGUGUUUUGCAGCCGCAGCCGGAGCUUUCAGCCAUUUUAGCAGCUGCUUCUUUCACAUCUGCUUUCACCCCCUCUUGCAUUAAACCCGGGUCCGAUUCUGGUCCCGGGUCGGAGUCCGGCUUUAGUGUGACCCGGGUUAUCUCUGCUGCACAUGUGAUGCCGACAGCUUCUGGACAUCCAGCGGACAACGAACCGUGAAGCAUCAUGGGAGGUGGCAGAUGGACGCCGUGGGCUGACAAGAGCCUGUGACACACACACACACACACACACACACACACACACACACACACACACACACACACACACACACACACACACACACACACACACACACACACACAC